rnacentral:rRNA from 1 species
UACGUAGGGUGCGAGCGUUGUCCGGAAUUAUUGGGCGUAAAGAGCUCGUAGGCGGUUUGUCACGUCUGCUGUGAAAUCCCGAGGCUCAACCUCGGGCCUGCAGUGGGUACGGGCAGACUGGAGUGCGGUAGGGGAGAAUGGAAUUCCUGGUGUAGCGGUGGAAUGCGCAGAUAUCAGGAGGAACACCGAUGGCGAAGGCAGUUCUCUGGGCAUUACCUGACGCUGAGGAGCGAAAGUGUGGGGAGCGAACAGG